AUGAAGAGAAUCAUUGAGAAUAUAACCAAGUAUCAAGGAAAGACUACUCAAGUGAAGGAUAAAGAUAUGAUGGAUAUGGAUGAAGAGAGUGAAUAUGAUAAAGAACCUACAAUUACUUUUAUGAAGAGUAUAACUCGUUCUGUUGUUGACAGAGUAAAAGAGAAAAAGAAGAAGAAGGAUGAAUCCCUCCAAAUCCUGCAUAAAGGAUAUUCAGACUGUGAAGGAGAAAACUCAAAAAGAGAAGUCUAUGAAAAAGAAAAGAAAUGUUAA